AUCCAUACUCUCAGGGAGUCGCUGCAGUUAUUGUAGUCACUUCACGGCUAGUACAAUUAGUCACUGGUUUGUCGUCCUUGUAUCUUGACUAAUAUAGUUGGUUUGUGAGUAUGCAAGCAAUAAGAGUAAAGAAUCUCUUCAAACGAAUCUCGCAAAUUAAGUCAGUCGCCCACUGGCUUCAACUCCAAAUGCUUGGAUCACUCAAAUAGGCUGCACUGAGAAGACACGAGUUGAUUACUGGACAUGGCAAAGGCGAAGACGUUUAAGACACAAUGCGGUGGUUUAGUUCGGGUGAAAUGAGGUGCCCUUCAAGUGAGAGCCUCCUGAAGAUCACACACUCAGAGAUGGAACAGACAGAGAACCGCUGCCACUAAGAGGCUCGUCUGUCAGGGACUGUCUUUGUGUGUCCCCCCCCCCCCAUCCCUCAGCUUUUCUGAGCCUGUCCAUGGACCACACUGGCCUGUUGUGUGCGACCCAGUCCUGGAAUGGACCAAAAGGUUCUACUUUCUCCCCCAACUGGAAAGACUCCUUGACCUUCUUGACGCCCGACGUCAUCAGGCCUCCAUCAGCCAACCAAAACAUGGCGGGUCACCACCCUCCCCAUGGAGUGUUGGUGUCUGCCUCGGGGCCCAAAGUGGUGCCCAUGGAUCAAAACCGAGUUACCAGCACUGGGAUCGAGCGGAGCUACGCCACAGUGCAGAAGGAUCGGAGGGGGCGACCAGUUAGCGCCAUCGACCCCCACAGGCGUUCCCAGUCGCUGUGUGCGGUGGCAGCUGGCACCAUUGACCCAGGCACUUUGAGGCGCCGGUGCGAGAGCUACGCCAUGGCCUACCCCAGCAGCAGCUCAGACGACAGUGGGAGCGACAGCGCCUCCACUAGGAAAGGAGACCUGCUGCUGCCAGAUGCCGUCCCACGGCCCAGGGCCCGCAGCAUCAUCCUGAGGAAGCCUAAGACGAGGCCGCCACCACCAAUGCGCACCGUCUCCUUGGGGAAGCACGGCGACCGCCGCUGUCAGAGCCUCUACAUCCCCCGGGACCUGCACAGCACCCUACUGCCAGACCUCAUCCCCGUCUCCAAGCUGGAGGAUGGGGAGGAGAGUCCCCUCCCUGUGAACAGCGGCACCACGAAGCUGAAGCCCUCUGCGUCGUCAACUCACUCAAGGCCUCUUAACGAGUUGAGGUCCAGUGAGCCAUGCAAGUCCCAGCCGGGCUCUGUUCCGGUGCCAGGUGCUGCCAGUAGCGAGGUGGCCAAAACCCUGAGCAGCUCAGACUCCCUGAACUCCCCUUCCUCCUCUUCCCGAUCCUCCCCUUCUCAACCACCUGUCACGUCCCCCUCCAAGCCUCUUGGGUCCACGUCCCCUUCCAGCGGGUACUCUAGCCAGUGCGAGACCCCCACCAGCUCGGUGCGAACGACGGCCAUUUUUGGGCCGUCCCCGAUGGGGUGCCGGAUGCGACCCAAGCCCGCGGGCCAAAGCUCCAGGGGCAGCAGAGUGAGGCUGUCCCUACAGCUGCCUGAGACGGCGCCGCCUGCUCCGGAUGAGUCCACCGACCCGGCCAAGCCUGGUCGGCGCUACUCGGAUUCCUCGGCCACGGUCAAGUCCAAGCAGAGGUGCCUGAGUAUGCUCCUGCCCGUGGUGACCCAGGAGGACCUCCUGAACGUGCGUCUACGCUCCGUCUCCAGCUCCGACAACGAAGGGGGGCGCUACGAGGGCUUUGCAGAGGCCAUUGCAGAGGAGGCGGAGAGAGACACCCCCACCCCUUCCAUUGAGAGCCCCAAGAACAAGCCGCCGGUUGCGCCGAAACCUGCUACAUCUACGUGGCAGCCAGUCGUGACUGGUCAAAAGGACCAGCCGGAGACUCAGGAGCCCCAUCACAAUGGCCCCGAGAGACGACGCGCUCCGAUCCCCAAACCCAAGAGGUCUUCCCUCUUAUUGUCAGGAAGUGGUGGGGAGCACCAUGCCACGCAUGGCCUUGGCAGAUCACUCUCUGCUGGUGUUUCCGAAACCCAGAAACACCAAAACACAGACUUUUACUUGUGUGAAAGAAAUGAUAAAAGAAGAAUAGGGCCACCCCCUGUUGCCAAGAAGCCUGAGGUACUCAUACUGCCAAACGGCCAUGGUGUGUGUAAUAAGGAUGGAAUGACUGGCCAUAUCCCAACCAAUGCCUCUCAAGACCUGCAAUUAGUUAAUGGUGGCAACACAGAAAUGCAAAAUGAUAUGCCUCCAAGACACACCCAUGGCAAAUACAAUACUAUGGGGAGAAACCCAUCAAGUAACAAAUAUCAGUGCGGAUAUCUAGACCCAAGCAUGAUGCAGGGUUAUGGAGAGGUACAAGAUGAAGUGUUUGCCAGUAAGACAACAUCUCGCACAACUGAGGACCUGUUCACCAUCAUCCACAGAUCAAAGAGGAAGCUCCUGGGACGCAAGGACUCCUUCGAGGGCCGUCCAUGUGACCUGGGCAUGCAGACGCUAGGGGGCGCGCCACGCCCCAACACCCAGAACGACAGCUUCAUGGCCCUGCUGCGGAGGACCAGGAGCGCCAAGGCUGCCCCCGGGGGACGCAUCUCCGCCGCAGAGCUCCUGAAGAGCUCCAAGCCCACCGCCGCUACUGGCCAGGCCUCUGACGCCACACGCCCAUGAGGGGAUCACGCACUUAUCAAACUUAUUAGCCCGACUUUACAUUAAGUGUGCCUAUCAGAGUGAGCUUACAUGAGUAAAGAACAGCACUAUGCACUUUUCCUGUAAGUAAAUAUAAUUACAUGUGGCUAAUCCCAACCCCAAUCUCAACCCCCAUCUCAAACCCCUAACCCAUUGUUCAACCUGUAAUUGUAUGUAUUUAUAUGGAAAGCACAUAGAACCUAAAAGGUAAUUGAAUAAUAUGUACAUAGAACCUAAGGACACUUAAUAUAAAGUGGGGCCAAUUUUUUAUUUUUUUUUGGCUUGUUUGUUUUGUCUGGUAAUUUUUAAUUGUGUUUCAACUAUGUGAAUUAACAACAAAGAUACAUGUCAUGAUGUUGCACAUUUCCAAGUGUAUGAACAAUGCCAUGAAACAUAACAGAACACAACUUCAAGGCCAUUACGAUGCCAUAGUAACAACAGUUUAGUGUUUUUGUUGUUGUGCUUACUGUUGUUGUGUGCCUUGCCUCAGAGUUGCUCACUUGUAUUUGCCAAGGACUUUUGCUUCUGAGUGAAAUGCCUGUAUAUAGCUUCUAUCUGCUACUGCACUGUGGUUUAGUAAAUUGAUUCACCACGGGGAAAUGUCGUAGCACUUUACAUUAAUCUUCCAUUAAAGAUACAGUCCAAGAUUCUGGUGAAAGGUUGUUGAUAUACGAGCUCAACAGCCAAUCCGUACUCCUGAAGCAAUGUGUUUAUUGGCUGGAUUAGUUCAGAGCACCAGGAUUGUUUAUGAUCACCAGGUUUUUUUUGUUUUCUUUUUGAACGGCUACACAGAAGGAGCAGCUAAGCUAAUGUGGAGAAAUUAGCUGAAUUUGACAAAAGUGUAGUGGAUUAGCAUUGCGGAUAUCGCCUUUAACUAACAUUAAUUCAGUGCAGUAGUGGGAAUUGAUAACGCAUUAACAACAAUAUCUAAGAUCACCCAGUGUUUGUUACUGCUGAUGGUCAUGGUCUGUUUAUGCCAGCUAAGGAGCUGAACAAUCUAAAUCAUUUCAUAAUUUCAGUGUUUCAGAAAUUAAGACUUUGAAUGUGAUGUGUAAUGUAUUGCCUGAACAAAUCAUGAAUUUAAGCUUUUGACAUUACGUAUGAUCGACUAAUUCUAAUGCUCACGGUUUAUUUAAUGUCCAAUUCUGCAUUAACUAAUGUAUGUUAACGGAAUGUUAAUGUAUAGGGUUACCUGCUAUGUUUUUCCCCAACCACUAAUAUGUCCACACCCACUCAAAUAAAGGUGGUAGAGAAGGGCAUGAAGCUGUGUGCUGGAAUGUACAGUAAGACCUGCUUGAAUUGGUACUUGCUAUUUAAUUCUAUGUCUGUACAUGACAAUCAAAACAGAACUCCUGGGGCCAUAAUGAUCUGAAACAUUGAUGUUUGAGAGUGGGGUUGGGGGAGUCGAGGUGGGGAUGUGCUGUUAUGAGAUAAUGUGAAUAGGAAUAUUCAACAGAUCUAUUUAAGAAAUCAUAUAAUGUGCUAUUUGAGUGAAAUUCAGUGCUCUUAUCAAAGUUAUUAAAAACAUUUAUUCACCCAUACACUGCUACUAUUUUGUCAUUAUUAUUGUUAAUGUUAUUAUUAUUAUUAUUAUUAGUAGUAGUAGUAGUAGUAGUAGUAUCUACAUUUUAUAUAUCGCCACUAAGUGAGCAGGCCACUUUGGAUAAAAGUGCUAAAUACAUACACUUUCACUUAAAUACGUAGCAGAAUGUAGAAAUCCCUGAUAAGAAUAGAACUAAACAUCCACUCAUGACAGAUGCAUCCAAAAGUGCACAGCACAUGAAACUGCAGUGCCUGUGGAAUGCCCAUGGCCGAGACAUCUAGAACCCCCUUGAUGAAUGGAACUGCAACAGCUCCCAUUUCAGAGGCGAGCAUUGGAGGAGUGAGUGAUGGAUAAACCGAGAGCCCAGGGGAUUAUUAAUCUAAUCCUCAGGUCAAUCUGAAGUGCCGUC
ensembl:lncRNA